UUCCUGUACCACCUAUAAUCGUUUUAAUCGAUGGGGGGACGCAGUAGGAUAGGCGAAGCGUGCGAUUGGAUUGCACGUCUAAGCAGUAAGGCUGAGUAUUAGGCAAAUCCGGUACUCGUUAAGGCUGAGCUGUGAUGGGGAGAAGACAUUGUGUCUUCGAGUCGUUGAUUUCACACUGCCGAGAAAAGCCUCUAGAUAGAAAAUAGGUGCCCGUACCGCAAACCGACACAGGUAGUCAAGAUGAGAAUUCUAAGGUGAGCGAGCGAACUCUCGUUAAGGAACUCGGCAAAAUGACCCCGUAACUUCGGGAGAAGGGGUGCUCUUUAGGGUUAACGCCCAGAAGAGCCGCAGUGAAUAGGCCCAAGCGACUGUUUAUCAAAAACACAGGUCUCUGCUAAACCGUAAGGUGAUGUAUAGGGGCUGACGCCUGCCCGGUGCUGGAAGGUUAAGAGGAGUGGUUAGCUUCUGCGAAGCUACGAAUCGAAGCCCCAGUAAACGGCGGCCGUAACUAUAACGGUCCUAAGGUAGCGAAAUUCCUUGUCGGGUAAGUUCCGACCCGCACGAAAGGCGUAACGAUUUGGGCACUGUCUCAACGAGAGACUCGGUGAAAUCAUAGUACCUGUGAAGAUGCAGGUUACCCGCGACAGGACGGAAAGACCCCGUGGAGCUUUACUGUAGCCUGAUAUUGAAAUUCGGCACAGCUUGUACAGG
rnacentral:rRNA from 1 species